GGGAGACCCCAUAUGGCUGCCCCAUUACCCACACAAACCAGAGGCGGAGGAAGGGUUGGAUGUAACACUGAAUGGUUUGUGGCCCACAGGGGUGUUGGAGGAGUCAUGUUCCGCGUGGAACACGCCUAUCCUCCCGGUCGAAAAGAAAGGGACAGGGAAAUACCGUAUGGCCCAUUAUCUCAGAGCCAUUAACGACAUUAUACUCACACCCACCAUACCGGUACCUAACCCGUAUGUAGCACUCACUGAUUUGACCCCUGAUCAAAAAUGGUUCACCUGCAUUGACCUGGCUAAUGUUUUUUCCUGUCUCCCACUAGCAGAGGAACUUCGUGACAUCUUUUCUUUCACACGUAAGGGUCGACAAUGGCGAUACACGAGACUACCACAGGGGUUCGCGCUUUCCCCUGGCAUAUUCAACCAGGUACAGAGAGAAGCGCUGCAGGGAUGCUGCCUGCCGACAGGGGUAACUUUGGUCCAGUACGUAGAUGAGCUGCUGCGGUGGCCGCCUGCAUCCAAGCUACAAUGACGGUCCUCACCAGACUGGCUGAGAAAGGGUUCAAGGUGUCGAAAGAUAAGCUACAGUUGAGUCGGAGAACGGAGGAACCUGCACCUGUUGGACCAGAAUCUGCCCCAGGCGGAGUGGGUGCUGCUGAAGGUCAUCAAACGAAAGUGGUCGGAGCCAAGGUGGACGGGUCCUCAUCAGGUGGUGGAGAGAACGAGUCAUGCGGUCCGCCUGAGGGGCAAAGGAGAGACAUGGUACCAUUGGAGCCAGUGUACACCAGCGCAGGAGCCAGGGAGAUCACUGACAGACCUCAUCCAAACUGGGAAGGUGGAGCUCGCCCCAGUGUGGACGGAAGAAGGACCAAAACCAGCCGGAUCGGUGCCCAGAGCGGACCCCAGGAUACUGCGGGACUACGAGCGAGAGAAGGAGACAAAGGACGGCACCAGGGGAAUAGACUUUUAGGGGAAGGAACCAAAAGAAUACUGUAACAAAAAGAGGUUUAGGACACUGAGUGGCUCCUACCACUCGUACCAAGAUGACAGGGUUACAGAGAAAGGUCUGGGGAGAUGAUAGUAGAAUGAAAUGGUACCUGGGCAUUGGUGGAAUAAUGAUAUGAGUGUUGUAUGUUGCUACAGGUUUCCCCGGUUGGCAUCGGGUCUCCAAUUCCCCAGCGAGAAGGCAUAUGACACAAAAAGAGGAUGCCUGCCUGAAAGAGGGCGGGGGUAUCGAAUUGGAUUAUGUCAAGGGGUCGCAUACGAGCAUUCUGGGGUAGAUAAUCCGCUGGAGGAAUGGAUGACCUCGAUGUUCGGCCAGUGGAAAGGUUUGAUAAUGUCUGUUCUUUUAUCGCUUGCUACAUUUUGUGCUAUAAUGGUUACUUGUGGGUGUUGUUGUAUCCCAUGCAUGAGAGGGCUCGCCAUGAGAGUGAUCUCUACAGCCAUUGAGAAGGCUCCAGGACCGCCACCGGGGAUGGAACAGCACGACCCGGGAGAACUGGAGCUGGGCGAAUAGGGGUGAUCUUUCUGGGGAGAGAUCAAAAGGGGGAAUUGUGGAUAUAUUGACUGUAUAAGCUGUUAAACUGUUGUGAGCAUUGAAGCAGAAUGUUGGAUGUCUGCUGAAAGUUGCAAGUAGAAAAACAGGAAAUCUUGUUUAGGCGGUUGCUAGGAAGAGGAAGUAGAUUUAGCUUGUGUGUCUCAGACACACAGGGAACAGGACACAGAUUGACAACGCACACACAUACUGAGGAACUUCAAGCUGAAGACAUAAAGCCCAAAUAUGACGCUUGUGCUGCAUUUACACAUAUAAGGUAUAGAACAUAAAUUGGACCAAUGGCACACUGCUUGGCUACCUUAACGCCCCCACUUUUUAGGCGUGUUUGAAGUAUAAAUAAUGCUGUUAUGACUGUUCAUGUUUAGACAUUGUGCGGCGACACUUUGUCUCCAAAAGCUUUUGUAAAAACCGAAUAUGCGGUACAGUAAUUGACCUGACUCCUGGUGUGUUAUUCUCCUUUCCAAUAAACCAGCUAAAAAUGCAUGGAUUGCGCAAUUGUAAAAUGUAUUUAAACAUUCUUAAAAAGUUCAAA
ensembl:lncRNA